CUUCCAAUCCCGUCUCCACCUCCAGUGCGCCGCCACCCCCUGCCCUGCCGCCGCGCACCGGUCUGGCGCGCGUGGACAUGGUGCCCGACGGGGGAGGGGAGUGCCGCAUCACAAGUCUCGCGCCGGCGGGCUACGCGCUCCUCGAGCGGUUGGAGGCGGCAUGGCUGCUCGACGCAGAAUGAACGCGGCGGCCGGAGCUUGCAGGGGAUGGAUUCGUGUGCGACAGGGGCAGGGAGGCGGAUCUGGAGGCUUUCGGCGAGGCGGGGUUCGCCUGUGACGAGGAGGAUGGCCGGAGAGCGGCUUCCCGAGAGGAUCCAUAGCAUCCGCGGCUCCAGGACAAAAAGGAGACACGGUGGUGAGGGAGAUAACAAGGGAGAAAGGAGGGGCGGUGCGGUGACCUUGGUCGGAGCUCACCGGUGUCCGGAAACGGUAGAUGGGCGCCACUGCUACUGCAUCCCUGGUAUUCCUCCUCUCACCUCUCCUGCCUUAAUGACAUCUGUUGCGUCGCCAAAGCCUUGGCCGCACAUCACCAGCAUCUCCGGCCUCGAGUACUCCUGCCACAGCACCCAGAGGCCCGUCGCCAUGACCGGAUCCAGUAUGGUUCCUCUAAUGCCCGCCCUCUCCCUCAUGGCACAUGUGCUAUUUUACUCGGAAAGGCCAUUGCUCACACUUUGAAUUUUGGCAUCAACUUUGUUGUCGUGCUUCAUUUCUUUGCUGGAAGAACCUCAAUUGUUUCUUUGCUUCGGUUGUUCUUCAAUCUUAGCUCUCAGUUGUCAACAUAUGCAUUACAAUAUGUUUGUUGUAUGUAGGGAUGGAGUGAAGAAACUGGAUUGGGGUCAUGGAAUAAAUCAACUAGGGGAUGCAACUCAUGUUCUUGUAGGUGGUCAUUCAGACAUUUCUUAACUCUGCUGCAAAAUCAGCUGCCACAGCUCCGCGCUGCCGGUCAUGGAAACCUCUCAUGUAUCCCCUCUUGUCGCUUCUCACCAGCAGCGUCUCUACGCCGUGGCAGCGGCGAUCCCGCCCCGAUGAUUGAAGCUGCUGCUCCUGAUCUAUUGUGUCUGGGCAAUCCCAGCCACUCCUCCCUAGCAAACUUGUGCUCUUCCUUCGGCUUGCCUUCCAUAGGGUCUGGCACCGCUUCAAUUAUAAUCUGCAGGACAUACACAAGUUGCAGACAAAUCGAUUGAAAUAAUGUGCUAAGCCUUGGGCUCCAUUGCCACUUUGUCAGCUUGUUGAUAUUAGAGGGAGGAUCAAAGGGGUGAUUGGUACUUUCCCUUACAACAGCCGGUGAAAAGCAACGAAUUUUUUCAACCAAUGAUGCUUUCUCUGUGGUGUCCAGGUUAUGAACUCCUACAAUUUCAGGUGUACUGCAAUCCAGGAAUGCAGCAAGCCAGAACAAUGGACAAUGAUUGUACUAUGAGUGGCUAGGUAUUGGCCUACCGUGGCAAGAUGCUGGUGACUCUAUGAGGUGUGUAAAAUAUGGAUCUGUAAAUGUCCCAGGUUGCCUUGGGGGCCAAAUGCCGCAAACAGGUCAAGGUUAGUUAAUUUCUCCUUUGCCAUUUCUCUAGAUAAUCCUCUCUAGCAAGAUCACUUAGGACGAUAUAAUCUGCUAUGUACUUUCUAUAUGAUUUCAGUAUGAGAACAUCACUUUAGGACAAUAUAAUAAGCUACCCAUGUGAUAUUUACUUCCACUGCGUUUCAGCAUGUUCAAUCUCUGUACAAGCGCGCAAAUGGACAUAUUUUGAUUUGGCGACUUCGUGUUUUAAGCGUUCUCACUGAAUAUUGGAUCCUGGCCCUUAUUUUAUCUACCUAUAGUAUGUUUCUAGCUCGAUGUCUACUGCUUCUCUUAAGGCCACAGUAGUUUAGAUUGACACUAUGUAUAUCUAAAUAACAAUUUCAUUUGGAUCACAUAACAUUCUUUUUCCUGGAAAAUCACGUGGUUUAUUGGACUUGAAUUAGCAGUGUGGUUCAUGUGCACAUUGUGCUUAGUUAUCCUUUCUGUUAUCACAAGUCGAUGUGAUAAACACGAAGUAUGCACUUCCAUCUAUACUUCUAAUAAUAUUGGUGUCAAGUGGUAUUAAAAGUCUGAAACUGCAGUUUAGGUUGUUCAUACAAAUCUGCAUUGGGUGUGUUUCUAAAAUUGUACGAGUAGUAACUUUGUAGAAGGAAUGCAGUCCCUUAAUCUAAUAGCGAUUUAACUUUUUUAAGUGACAUAGAACAAUCCUGUAACUUUGAAGACACCUCCAGAUGUUGUGAUUCUGCAAAUUAUCUGGAUCUUCUUAUGUGCCAGAAGCUAAGGUCCAUUGUCCCUCAACACAGUCUCCCUGAAAUACAAAUUCCAGCUUUUAAGUGUGGCAAUGACGCAAAUUCCUGAAGGACACGUUCGUCAGGCUUGACCUGACCCUCUCUGACGCCACCUUGCCGCCUCUGUUGCUGGAGAUCAGCCGAAAGAGUUAGCUUGUAGCCGCUUUGUUUCAAUGGUUGCUCAAUGCUCUUCGACUCUCCAUAAUGAGCAGUUGAUGGUGCUUGGACGAAACAAUUGAUCGGAAAAUGGGUAGUGUUGUACUGGUGGUCUUGUGUCCGCCCACUAACUGUAAGACACCUAAGAUGAUUCUUCAGGACUUGAUACAUUCCAAUUACUCAUUUGGGUCUUCUUCUUACUCUUA